rnacentral:rRNA from 1 species
AACGAACGCUGGCGGCAGGCUUAACACAUGCAAGUCGAGCGCCCCGCAAGGGGGGCGGCCGACGGGUGCGUAACGCGUGGGAACGUACCUUUUGGUUCGGAACAACUCCGGGAAACUGGAGCUAAUACCGGAUAAGCCCGAACGGGGAAAGAUUUAUCGCCGAAAGAUCGGCCCGCGUCUGAUUAGCUAGUUGGUGAGGUAACGGCUCACCAAGGCGACGAUCAGUAGCUGGUCUGAGAGGAUGAUCAGCCACACUGGGACUGAGACACGGCCCAGACUCCUACGGGAGGCAGCAGUGGGGAAUAUUGGACAAUGGGCGCAAGCCUGAUCCAGCCAUGCCGCGUGAGUGAUGAAGGCCUUAGGGUUGUAAAGCUCUUUUGUCCGGGAAGAUAAUGACUGUACCGGAAGAAUAAGCCCCGGCUAACUUCGUG